UACGAAGGGUGCAAGCGUUACUCGGAAUUACUGGGCGUAAAGCGUGCGCAGGCGGUUUUGUAAGCCAGAUGUGAAAUCCCCGGGCUUAACCUGGGAAUGGCAUUUGGGACUGCAAGGCUUGAGUGCGGCAGAGGAGACUGGAAUUCCUGGUGUAGCAGUGAAAUGCGUAGAUAUCAGGAGGAACACCUGCGGUGUAGACGGCUUUCUGGACCAUUGUUGACGCUGAGACACGAAAGCGUGGGUAGCAAACAGG
rnacentral:rRNA from 1 species